rnacentral:rRNA from 1 species
AUUGAACGCUGGCGGCAGGCUUAACACAUGCAAGUCGAGCGGGGUGAUGGUGCUUGCACUAUCACUUAGCGACGGACGGGUGAGUAAUGCUUAGGAAUCUGCCUAUUAGUGGGGGACAACAUCUCGAGAGGGAUGCUAAUACCGCAUACGUCCUACGGGAGAAAGCAGGGGAUCACUUGUGACCUUGCGCUAAUAGAUGAGCCUAAGUCGGAUUAGCUAGUUGGUGGGGUAAAGGCCUACCAAGGCGACGAUCUGUAGCGGGUCUGAGAGGAUGAUCCGCCACACUGGGACUGAGACACGGCCCAGACUCCUACGGGAGGCAGCAGUGGGGAAUAUUGGACAAUGGGGGGAACCCUGAUCCAGCCAUGCCGCGUGUGUGAAGAAGGCCUUAUGGUUGUAAAGCACUUUAAGCGAGGAGGAGGCUCUUUUGGUUAAUACCCAAGAUGAGUGGACGUUACUCGCAGAAUAAGCACCGGCUAACUCUGUGCCAGCCGCCGCGGUAA